UAUAGCAUGAUAUGGAUUGGCCGCUGGAAUAUGCAUGCAUUUAAUAUCAACGUUUUCAAUCAGCCUUAAUUUUUGAAUCUGUUCAAAGUAGCACGUUCUCAAAUCCGACUGAAAGUGUCUUUCUAAUACAACACAGGGGUACAUAUAACGUGUUGUCGUUCUCAUAUGCACAUGAUAUUUGUCACUGGACGUUAACCCCUAAUUC
rnacentral:lncRNA from 1 species